UACGGGGGGGGCAAGCGUUGUUCGGAAUUACGGGGCGUAAAGGGCUCGUAGGCGGCCAACUAAGUCAUACGUGAAAUCCCUCGGCUUAACCGGGGAACUGCGUCUGAUACUGGAUGGCUUGAGAUUGGGAGAGGGAUGCGGAAUUCCUGGUGUAGCGGUGGAAUGCGCAGAUAUCAGGAGGAACACCGGUGGCGAAGGCGGGUCUCUGGGCAGUAACUGACGCUGAGGAGCGAAAGCGUGGGGAGCGAACAGG
rnacentral:rRNA from 1 species